rnacentral:rRNA from 1 species
GAUGAACGCUGGCGGCGUGCCUAACACAUGCAAGCCGAACGAAGCAUUUUAAAGGAAGUUUUCGGAUGGAAUUUAAGAUGACUGAGUGGCGGACGGGUGAGUAACGCGUGGAUAACCUGCCCCACACUGGGGGAUAACAGUUAGAAAUGACUGCUAAUACCGCAUAAGCGCACAGUGCUGCAUAGUACAGUGUGAAAAACUCCGGUGGUGUGGGAUGGAUCCGCGUCUGAUUAGUUAGUUGGCGGGGUAACGGCCCACCAAGACGACGAUCAGUAGCCGACCUGAGAGGGUGACCGGCCACAUUGGGACUGAGACACGGCCCAAACUCCUACGGGAGGCAGCAGUGGGGAAUAUUGCACAAUGGGGGAAACCCUGAUGCAGCGACGCCGCGUGAGUGAAGAAGUAUUUCGGUAUGUAAAGCUCUAUCAGCAGGGAAGAAGAUGACGGUACCUGACUAAGAAGCCCCGGCUAACUACGUGCCAGCAGCCGCGGUAAUACGUAGGGGGCAAGCGUUAUCCGGAUUUACUGGGUGUAAAGGGAGCGUAGACGGCGGAGCAAGUCUGAAGUGAAAGCCCGGGGCUCAACCCCGGGACUGCUUUGGAAACUGCUCUGCUAGAG